GAGUUUGAUCUUGGCUCAGAUUGAACGCUGGCGGCAGGCCUAGCACAUGCAAGUCGAGCGGUAGAGAGAAGCUUGCUUCUCUUGAGAGCGGCGGACGGGUGAGUAGUGCCUAGGAAUCUGCCUGGUAGUGGGGGAUAACGCUCGGAAACGGACGCUAAUACCGCAUACGUCCUACGGGAGAAAGCAGGGGACCUUCGGGCCUUGCGCUAUCAGAUGAGCCUAGGUCGGAUUAGCUAGUUGGUGAGGUAAUGGCUCACCAAGGCGACGAUCCGUAACUGGUCUGAGAGGAUGAUCAGUCACACUGGAACUGAGACACGGUCCAGACUCCUACGGGAGGCAGCAGUGGGGAAUAUUGGACAAUGGGCGAAAGCCUGAUCCAGCCAUGCCGCGUGUGUGAAGAAGGUCUUCGGAUUGUAAAGCACUUUAAGUUGGGAGGAAGGGCAGUAAAUUAAUAACUUUGCUGUUUUGACGUUACCGACAGAAUAAGCACCGGCUAACUCUGUGCCAG
rnacentral:rRNA from 1 species